GGCAAACGGGUGCGGAACGCGUACAGAAUCUACCUCUAUCUGGGGCAUAGCCCGAAGAAAUUCGGAUUAACUCCCCAUAAUAUAGAAGGGUGGCAUCACCAGACUAUUAAAAAUUUAUUGGAUAGAGAUGACUGUGCGUCCCAUUAGCUAGUUGGUAGGGUAACGGCCUACCAAGGCGACAAUGGGUAGCUGGUGUGAGAGCACGACCAGCCACACGGGCACUGAGACACGGGCCCAGACUCAUACGGGAGGCAGCAGUGAGGAAUAUUGGUCAAUGGACGCAAGUCUGAACCAGCCAUGCCGCGUGAAGGAUGAAGGCCUUCUGGGUUGUAAACUUCUUUUGAUCUGGGAAGAAAAUUACGGUUUCUACUGUAACCGACGGUACCAGAGGAAUAAGCACCGGCUAACUCCGUGCCAGCAGCCGCGG
rnacentral:rRNA from 1 species